UCAAGCAAAUGCAUCCAGUGUGGCUGGGAGCACAGCCAAGGUGCUGUGGGAAAGCAAAGGAGUUUAAAAUAUGUGCUGAUUUUUUAUUUGUGAUUCCAGAAAAGGAACUUGGAAGAUUAAAGGGGUGCCUUGUAGAGGGUGUAAUUUCACCCACUCCUGCGGUAGCAUAUGGCAUCUUUCAGGAGAGCAGAGGUGAACCUCCUUUUCCAGCAGCACUGCAGGUUUAGAUCUUCUGCUUCCCCCAUGCCCUGUCAUAUUAAACCAUUUAUGCUACAAAGUAAGCAGCUUGCGUCUGCCCUUGUGACUUCACUGGAACUGGUUGCUUAUUCCUAUCGUGCUUCUGCCAGCAAGCGCUUCAGCAAGAGAAAUGAUAAACUACCCACUGCAGCUACUGCACUUCAGUGCCGAAUCGUAAGUGAAAUCACAUCCUCAUUUUAGGUUAAUGGUCUGAUACGUGAAUGCUGACAGCUCUCUUUGAGUCCCAUCUUGUGCAACGCUGCAGUGUCCAGAGCACGGUGUGAGC